CCCCCAGACGGCCAUUUGUAGCGGUGCUAGAGGCUGCGUUCGGCUGUGCUGCAUAGCCGCGAAGAGGAGCGCGCUCCCUGGCCACUGCGUCCACUGCCCUGGAGCCUUCCCGGCUCUCCUGCGUCUCGGGCAACUCCCAGCCGGUCCGGGGGAUAGCGCUCCGCGGCCCUCCAGGCCACUCGCGGGCCCCGCGCGCUCUACCGCCUGUAACCCAGCCGGUCGCACUCGUCCCCGAAGCCGGGCCUAGGGCGCGCGGCGGCCGGGCUGGGCUCGGGGUGUCCCGAUGGCCGCGGCCGGCUGGCGCGACGGCUCCGGCCAGGAGAAGUACCGGCUCGUGGUGGUCGGCGGUGGCGGCGUGGGCAAGUCGGCGCUCACCAUCCAGUUCAUCCAGUCCUAUUUUGUGACGGACUAUGACCCAACCAUUGAAGACUCAUACACAAAGCAGUGUGUGAUUGAUGACCGAGCGGCCCGGCUGGACAUUUUGGAUACAGCUGGACAAGAGGAGUUUGGAGCCAUGAGAGAGCAGUACAUGAGGACAGGGGAGGGCUUCCUGUUAGUCUUCUCAGUCACGGAUAGAGGCAGUUUUGAAGAAAUCUAUAAGUUUCAAAGACAGAUUCUCAGAGUAAAGGACCGUGAUGAGUUUCCCAUGAUUUUAAUUGGCAAUAAAGCUGACCUGGACCAUCAGAGACAGCAUUCACUCUUAAUGAUAGCAGUGAGACGCAUGUACCAGGAAAUCUCAACUUUAAGCUCUGGGAUUUAUGCAAAUAUAAACAAAUGCUGCACAAUGACUUUAGCAAAGUACUGCUUUUGGGAUUCUUUGUGUUUAAAAUACAGAGGGUUAGUGAUAAUUAAUGGCUUCUGCCUUACCCUUCUGUCCUUGCUUGCUUCUUUCCUCUCCUCACUCUCUGCCUGCCUGCCUGCCUGCCUGUCUGUCUGUCAGUCUGUCUUCCACAGCUGUGGUCCUGUUUAGCACUCCUACUUGCCAACCCUCCCCACAUACUGAUGUGUCCUGUGUACCAAGUACUGGCCAAGACAACAAGGAGGUCCUGUGGCCUGAGAAGCCUGUGUCCAUUUUCCAAUUCUAGUCUGAGCAAGCCAAGCUGAUUUUCUCGUAAGGUCAUUUCCCACAAGCACACCCCCCACCCCACCCCCCCACACACACCUUUUUUGGCCAUGACUAUAUUCUUACUCUGCCGCCACUUAGCUAGAGACUCUAUUUAGUUCUUAGAUCACUGCCUCAGGCAGGCUCUCCCUGACCCCUCAAUAGACCUUGUUUCAGCACUUUCUGUUUUCUCUUUCUUUACCAUCACAUCUAAUGUUUCUGGUGUCAUCUCCAGGCUAAACAUUGUGAGUUAGUCAGAUGUCCUUUUAUAGCAAUAGGGGUUGGUUCCAGGACCCCCCAUAGACACCAGAAUCUCUAGAUAUAUAAAAAUCCCUUUUAAACAGAAGCAGAGAUUUUGUAUAUAACCUUUGCAUAUUCUUCUGUGUAUUUGAAAAAAUACUGUAUUUUAAUGUCUGGUAUGGCAUAAAUGCUAUGUAAAUACUUGUUCUGCAUGUUUAGGGACGAUGACCAGACUAAAGAUGAGUAUGCUCACUAUAGUUACCAUUCAGCCCACGGGUUGGUUUUAUUUUAUUCUGGAGACAGAGUUUCUGGUAGUCUCAAAUUGCUAUGUAGCCAAGGAUGGCCCCAAAUUCCUGAUGUUUCUUUCUCUACCCACAUCCAGCUCAGUCCAUGUGUUUUUGACUUGCAGUUGACUGAGCCCACGGACAUUGCAGGCCAACUGUGUUUGUAUUACAGGUACAUUCUUCUGAACUGUGCAGAGGUGGGCUUCAUAUUGUAUGGCACUGUGGCAUCUGUCCAUUCCUUACGAUAAGUCAGCCUGGACUCCAGGUGGCGCAGUAGCGCAUAUGUAUGUAGCCAGGCUUAGAUGUGGUCCAACAGGGUUGCUAAUACAUGCCGUGCCUUAUACACAAUUGCUGCUAUCCAUUUUAGGUAACACAGGAAGAAGGGCAGCAGUUAGCUCGGCAGCUCAAGGUCACGUAUAUGGAGGCAUCGGCAAAGAUCAGGAUGAAUGUAGAUCAAGCUUUCCACGAACUUGUCCGGGUUAUAAGGAAAUUUCAAGAGCAAGAAUGCCCUCCUUCACCAGAACCAACCCGGAAAGAAAAAGACAAGAAAGGCUGCCAUUGUGUCCUUUUCUAAGAGUCCCUUGAGGUUUAGCUAACAACUGCCAGGGCAGCCCUCAUCUCCGCUACCGUUUACAUCAUCUGGUACCUGGUAGCCUUAGACUGGUGAUCACCGUGUUAGCCUUACACCAAGAAGCUGGCUAAUCCUUUAUGUGAAGCUAAUGUAACAGUCUUUCCCAGACUUGUGUAAAGGAAACACUAAGGCUGCUUCAGACAUUAUCUGAUUCCUUUAAAACACAUGUCUACACACACAGAUGCAGUCUUCAAGGGCUUUUAAUAGAGGUGAACCAAGUUUGGAGCCUGAGCUAUUUGCUAAGCUGACGUCAUAGGUUGUGAAGUAAUUUUUAACUUCUGGAAUCAUGUUGCCUACUGUUACUCUAAAUAGAAAUAUAGGGAAGGUUUUUUUUUUUUUUAAUGUGAAUUUUUGCCUAUCUUUAAAACUUUUGAUGUCAACUUUCAUUAACCUUAAAUACACUGAAUGGAAUCUACAAAAGUGAGACAUCUCAGACCUUUCCUGAUGCUACGGCUUUUGUUUUUCCGGUGGCCAGAAUACCAAAAUGCCUGUUGUAUUUAUGGAUUAAAAACUGCUGAUUAAGCCUUGGUUAUCAUGCCUCCUUCAAGAUGACAAUAUUCUCUGUGGCCAAAUGUUUGGACUGGUUCUGCACUUAGGUGUUUCGGUGAACUUGAUUUCUUUUCACAGCCGUGGUAAGGGUAAGCGUGAAUGGUUCCUGUCUGUCUUCCUUUUUCAAGUAUUCCUGGUGAAGGAUUAAAAAAGAAAAUCCACACAAGCUAAAGCUGUUUUUGUUUGAUGUAAUAUAAAAUAUGGAAUUGAUCUUUCCAAAGUCAGAGAUGAUUAAUGUUUUUGCUAUAUACUUUUAUACGUUAUUUUCUUAUCAAACUAGUUAACAAGUAUUUUUAUAUGUUUGUAAGCGAAUAUGCUUUCACAGCGUACCUUGUGUAUAUGUAAAGAUGAGUAUUUAAGUCUCACUGUUCACUGUUAACUGACAAAGAGAACAUGGAAGCCACGGUGACCAUGGCUUUUGCUUGCUGGUGUGGUCCUUGUUACAUCCACUGGUGGCCAAUAAUCAGAAAACCUUCCCAAGAGAAUGCAACAGGACGAGACUGUGAAGUCACGUUCAAUGUCCCCACUAGAUAUUGACUGUUAUAUCAAGUAUUAUGUGUAAAACCUCUAUUUGACAAUUAGUGUAACUGUGGAUGGCUUCUGACUUUGUUUUUAACUCUGUGGAUUGUGUUUAAGCAAUUCAAAGUGUGUUCCUGGUUUUGAGACUCUCAGUGGUAUUGCACAGUGGUCACUUUAUUGAAUGUGUACAACAGCCCCAUGAAGUUUAUAAAGUGGACCCUUGUAUAGCUUCAGGUGCUAGAAUUAAAAGUUGAUCUGUUAUCACCA